rnacentral:misc_RNA from 1 species
AACGCACCUUGCGCUCCUUGGUAUUCCGAGGAGCAUGCCUGUUUGAGUGUCAUUAAAUUCUCAACCUUUAUCAGCUUUUGCUGAUGAUGGCUUGGAUGUGGGGGUUUAUUUUGCUGGCUUCUUUACAGAUGGUCAGCUCCCCUUAAAUGCAUUAGCUGGUGCCCCGCGUGGACUGUCUAUUGGUGUGAUAAUUAUCUACGCCGUGGACAUCUGCAAUCAUAUGGGUUUGCACUGCUUCCAAUCGUCUGUUCAAUCAGACAAUACAUGACAAUUUGACCUCAAAUCAGGUAGGACUACCCGCUGAACUUAA